rnacentral:rRNA from 1 species
AUUGAACGCUGGCGGCAGGCUUAACACAUGCAAGUCGAACGAGUGGCGGACGGGUGAGUAAUGCUUGGGAAUCUAGCUUAUGGAGGGGGAUAACUACGGGAAACGGUAGCUAAUACCGCAUACCAUAGGAUGAGCCCAAGUGGGAUUAGGUAGUUGGUGAGGUAAAGGCUCACCAAGCCGACGAUCGCUAGCUGGUCUGAGAGGAUGACCAGCAAAAGUGGGACUGAGACAGGGCCCAGACUCCUACGGGAGGCAGCAGUGGGAAAUAUUGGGCAAGGGGGGCAAGCUGACGCAGACAUGCCGCGUGAAUGAAGAAGGCCUUCGGGUUGUAAAGUUCUUUCGGUAGGGAGGCGUUACCUACAGAGGAAGCACCGGCUAACUACGUGCCAGCAGCCGCGGUAAUAC